GGGGGAGGGGGUUGGGGGGGAAAAGGAGGGGGGAACGUAACAUCAGGCGGUUAGGAACAUAUAAUUUUCAUAGGAACAAAAAAGUAGGAACACCUCCUGCUUAAGGAAUGAGAAGGAGUGGAUCCCAGAGCUUAAAGAGCAGUAAUGCACCUUAUUAACAAAAUUAGUCUCCGGGAAUACCAAGUGAAGUGCCAUUCGAAUCUUAGGGCACCCCUCACUCGAGCUGACUGUGGACCGCAUCAGAAGCUUAAUUUCAAACACUUUUGAAUUUACAGUCUCCACUCGCUUCUCCAACCUAUUUACUCAACUAGUGAGUUGUUUCGGCUAGGGAGAAAGCUGAGGGCGCAAUAAUUGAGAUCUCUGCGGACCGGACAUACGUGGGGCUCUUGGGAGAACUCGCUCAACUAAACCACUAUGCUUUGGACCCAGAAUCAAGGCAAAAGCUAGCUCCCCAGCCUCCUUUCCCGAUUUUGGACACACUGGAUUCUGUCAUCUCUUCCUGUCUCCACUCCACUGCAGAAGCGGUGUUCUCCUGCUGACUUAUCCGAGCCACUGCUUUAUCCGACUAGCACCAAUAAAAAUACAUUUUUUUUAAA